GACGAACGCUGGCGGCGUGCUUAACACAUGCAAGUCGAACGGUGAAGCACCUUCCUUUUGGUGGGUGUGGAUGAGUGGCGAACGGGUGAGUAACACGUGAGUAACCUGCCCCCUUCUUCUGGAUAACCGCAUGAAAGUGUGGCUAAUACGGGAUAUUCUGUGCCUGCUGCAUGGUGGGUGUGGGAAAGCUGCGCUUUUGGGUGUUUUUGGUGGGGGAUGGGCUCGCGGCCUAUCAGCUUGUUGGUGGGGUGAUGGCCUACCAAGGCGGUGACGGGUAGCCGGGCUGUGAGGGUGGACGGUCACACUGGGACUGAGACACGGCCCAGACUCCUACGGGAGGCAGCAGUGGGGAAUAUUGCAGAAUGGGCGCAAGCCUGAAGCAGCGACGCCGCGUGAGGGAUGGAGGCCUUCGGGUUGUAGACCUCUUUCGCCAGUGAAGCAGGCCCGUCCCUUGUGGGUGGGUUGACGGUAGCUGGAUAAGAAGCGCCGGCUAACUACGU
rnacentral:rRNA from 1 species